rfam:Trichobilharzia regenti genome assembly, scaffold: TRE_scaffold0080503
AUCCAGCUGACGAGUCCCAAAUAGGACGAAAUGCGCAUCCUGAAU